rnacentral:lncRNA from 1 species
UAUAUACACGUAUAUACGUAUAUAUACGUGUAUAUAUAUGUAUAUAUGUAUAUCUGUGUGUGUGUAUGUAUAUACAUAUAUAUGUAUAUACAUAUAUACGUAUAUAUGUAUACUGCAAAGCUACAGUAACCAAAACAGCGUGUAUUGGUAUUAAAACAGACACAAAAACAAAGGAAAAAGACUAAAGAAUGCAGAAAUGAAUCCACAUAUUUACAGCUAACUGAUUUUCAAGAAAGCUGUCAAGAACAUAUAUUGAAUAAAGGACACCUUCUUCAUUAAAUGGUGCCAGGAAAACUAGAUAUCCAAACACAGAAGAAUAAAACUAGACCCAUAUCUCUCAUCACUUACAAAAAUAAACUCAAAAUCAAUUAAAGACUUAAAUGUAACAGCCACAACUAUGAAACUACUAGAAGUAAACACAGGAGAAACGCUUGAGAACAAAGAUUGUAUGGCUAACACUUAAAAAGUACAAGCAACAAAAACAGACAAAUGGGAUUAUAUUAAACUAAAUACCUUCCGCAUAUCAACGAAAACAAUCAACAGAGUGAAAAGACAACACCCCUCCCUUACACCAUACACAAAAAUUAACUCAAGAUGGCCUACAGACUUAAAUGUAAAACCCAUAACUAUAAAAACGCUGAAGACAACCUAGGCAAUACCAUCCGGUACAUAGUGAUGGGCAAAGAGUUCAUGGUGAAGAUGCCAAACGCAAUUGCCACAAAAGCAAAAAUUGACAAAUGGGAUCUAAUUACAUGAAAGAGCUUCUGCACAGCUAAAGAAACUAUCAAAAAAUAAACAGACAUUUCUCAAAAGAAAAUAUACAAAUCACCAAGUUUAUGAAAAAAUAUUCAACAUCACUAAUCAUCACGGAAAUGCAAAUCAAAACCACAAUGAGAUAUCAUCUCACACUUGUUAGAAUGGGUAUUAAAAAGACAAAGCACAACAAACGCUGUCAAGCAUGUGAAGAAAAUUAUUGUAUAUUGUUGGUGGGAAUGUAAAUUAGUACAGCCAUUAUGAAAAAAAGUGCAGAGAUUUCUCAAAAAACUAAGAACAGAUCUACCAUAUGAUCCAGCAAUCCCACUCCUGUGUAUAUAUCCAAAAAAAGAUAACAGCGUAUCAACGGGAUAUCUGUACCCCCAUAUUUACUGCAGCACUAUUUACAAUAGCCAAGAUAUGGAAUCAAUCUAAGUGUCAAUCAAUGGAUGAAUGGAUAAAGAAAAUGGGAAUAUACGCACAAUAGAAUAGUAUUCAGCCAUAAAAAAGAAUGAAAUCCUGUCAUUUUCAGCUAAAUGGAUGGAACUAAAGGUCAUAAUGUCAGGUGAACUAGGCCAUGCACAGAAAGAAAACUAUUGCAUGUUCUCACUUAUAUGAGCAGCUUAUGCUCCUGGAAAUCAAAGCGGGGCCAUAUUUCAGUUCAGUAGGGUCAGGGAUAGAGACCACAGUUAUGGACUUGUGUGCCCUGGAGCUAUAUAAAAUUGAUAUCAUGGAAAUAAAGAGUAGAAUGAUAGUUACCAGAGGCUGGGAAUAGGAGGGGUUUGAAAAGAGGUUGAUUAAUGGGUAUAAAAAUAUAUAACAGAAGGAAUGAGAUCUAGUGUUUAUUAUCACAGAAAGUGACUACAACAAUUUAUUGUAUAUUUCUUUUUUUUAAUUUCAAUAGUUUUUAGGGAACAGGUGGUAUUUUGUUACAUGGAUAAGUUCCUUAGUGGUGAUCUCUGAAAUUUUGGCAUACCCAUCAGCAAAGCAGUUUACCCAAUGUAUAGUCUUUUAUCUCUCACCCCCUUCCACCUUCCCCCUGAGCCCCCAAAGUCCACUGUUUCAUUCUUGUGCCUUCGCAUCAUCAUAGCUUAGCUCCCACUUAGGAGUGAGAACACGCAAUGUUUGGUUUUCCAUUCCUGAGUUACUUCAUUUAGAAUAAUGGUCUCCAACUCCAUCCAGGUUGCUAUGAAUGCUAUUAUUUUAUUCCUUUUUAAAGCUAAGUAGUAUUCUAUGGUAUAUAUAUAUAUAACACAUUUUCUUUAUCCAUUAAUUGAUUGAUGGGCAUUUGGGCUGGACCUAUAGUUUUGCAACUGUGAAUUCUGCUGCUGUAAUCAUGUGUGCAAAAGUAUCUUUUUCAUAUAAUGAUUUCUUUUCCUCUGGGUAGAUACCUAACAGUGGGAUUGCUGGAUCAAACGGUAGAUGUACUUCUAGUUCUUUAAGGAAUCUCCAUACUGCUUUCCAUAGUGGUGGUACUAGCUUACAUUCCCACCAUCAGUGUAAAAGCGUUGUCUUUCACCACAUCCAUGCCAACAUUAAUUUUUGUUUUUUUGUUUUGUUUUGUUUUGUUUUGUUUUUUUGAGAUGGAGUCUCACUCUGUCGCCCAGGCUGGAGUACAGUGGUGCCAUAUCAGCUCACUGCAACCUCUGCCUCCCAGGUUCAAGCAAUUCUCCUGCCUCAGCCUCCUGAGUAGCUGGGAUUACAGGCAACUGCCACCAUGCCCGGCUAAUUUUUGUAUUUUCAGUAGAGACUGGGUUUCACCAUGUUGGUCACCUGGUCUCAAACUCCUGACCUCAUGAUCCGCCCACCUUGGCCUCCCAAAGUGCUAGGAUUACAGGCGUGAGCCACCGCGCCUGGCCCUCUUUUUGUUUAUUUUACAAGUGGUAUUGCAUUGUGGUUUUGAUUUGCAUUGCCCUGGUAAUUAGUGAUGUUGAGUAAUUUUUCAUAUGUUUCUUGGCCAUUUGUAUAUCUUCUUUUGAGAAUUGUCUAUUCAUGUCCUUGGCACACUUUUUGAUGAGAUUAUUUUUUUCUUGCUGAUUAGAGUUCCCUGUAGAUUCUGGACAUUAGUCCUUUGUCAGAUGCAGUUUGUGAAAAUUUUCUCCCACUCUGUGGGUGAUCUGUUUACUCUGCUGAUUAUUCCCUAUGCUGUGCAGGAGGCCUUUAGUUUAAUUAAGUCCCAUCUAUUUAUCUUUGUUUCUGUUGCAUUUGCUUUUGGGUUCUUGGUCAUAAACUCUUUGCCUAAGCCAAUGUGUAGAAGCAUUUUCGAAUGUUAUCUUCUAGAAUUUUUAUGGUUUCAGACCUUAGAUUUAAGUCUUUGAUCCAUCUUGUGUUGAUUUUUGUAUAAGGUGAGAGAUAAGGAUACAGUUUUAUUCUUCUACAUGUGGCUUGCCAAUUAUCCCAGCACUAUUUGUUGUAUACGGUGUACUUUUCUUACUUUGUUUUUGUUUACUUUGUCGAAGAUCAGUUGGCUGUUAAGUAUUUGGCUUUAUUUCUAGCUUCUCUACUCUGUCCCAUUGGUCAUGUGACUAUUUUUAUACCAGCACCGUGCUGUUUUGGUGACUAUAGCCUUGUAAUAUAGUUUGAAGUUGGAUAAUGUGAUGCCUCUAGAUUGGUUCUUUUUGCUUAGUUUUGCUUUGGCUUUGCAGACUCUUUUUUAGUUCCAAAUGAAUUUUGGCAUUUUUUUUCUAAUUCUAUAAAGAAUGAUGAUGGUACAUUGAUAGGAAUUGCAUUGAAUUUGUAGACUGCUUUUGGCAGUAUGGUCAUUUUCACAAUAUUGAGUCUACCCAUCCAUGAGCAUGGAAUGUGUUUCCUUUUGUUUUUGUCAUCUAUGAUUUCUUUCAACAGUGUUUUGUAGUUUUCCUUGUAGGGGUCUUUCACCUCCUUGGUUAGUUACAUUCGUAAGUAUUUUAUUUUUACAGCUAUCAUAAAAGGGUUUGAUUUGAUUCUCAGCCUGGUAGAUGUUGGUGUAUAGCACCGCUACUGAUAUGUGUACAUAGAUUUUGUAUCCUGAUAAAUAGAUUUUUUGUGUAUUUCUAAAUAGCAAUAAGAUUUGAAAUAUUCCCAACACAAAGAAAUGAUCAAUGUUUGAGGUGAUUAAUAUCCUAAAGACCCUGAUUUGAUCAUUACACAUUGCAUGCAUGUACCAGAAUCUCACAUGGACCCCAUAAAUUUGUACAAUUAUUCUCUAUCAAAAACAUUUUUUUAAGAAACAUGCAGGAAUACACUGUACCUCUUCCUUGCUGUGUCUGGAUAUUGUCACAUGAGGACUUGACAUGCCGAUUGUGGCAGUCUCUGUGACCAAGAGCAGAAGACAAUAGCAGCAUAGAAACCUCAAAUGAAAAACCUAACAUUUCAAGCUACUAAUUUAGCCAACCUUGGCAUCAGCUAUCUCUGGUCUUAGUAUAUGAGGUGAUAAGCCCCCACUGUUCAAGUUGGAUGGCCAUCAAUUGCUGCAGAAUAGAAGUUAAUGAGGCUUCCUCCUCCUGGAUCCCCUACUAGACCUUGACAUGCCCAUUCAGUCACAGGCAGAAAGGGAAGCAGAGGGUAAGGAGACCUGGCUGACUGUGUCAGACGCAGAUCUUACCUGUCCUGCUUAGAACACUCAAAGCUCAAUUGCUUAAACAAAAAAAGGAAAAAGACAAUAAGGAGUAUAGCACUCCCCAGAUGCAACUUAAUCUAACACUCUAUACUUUAGAUUUUCUAGACAUACAUAGAAAUCAGACCACUACUUCUGCAGAACAUUUUACUGGUAAAAAGAACAGCCCACAUGAGGGAAAACUGAUUUGGUGGAAAGACAACAAAAACAAAACAUGGGAAAUAGGUAAAGUGAUAACAUGGGGGAGAGGUUUUGCUUGUGUUUCACCAGGAGAAAAUCAGCUUCCUGUUUGGAUACCCACUAGACAUUUGAAAUUCUACAAUGAACUCAUCAGGGAUGCAAAUGAAAGUGCCUCUGCAGAGACAGAAAACCCGCAAUCGAGCAUCAUCGACUCGCAGGGUGAACAAAAUGGUGAUAUCAGAAGAACAGAUGAAGUUACAAUCCACCAAGGAAACUGCACAUGUGGAGAGUCAGGGAGAGGAAGAGAAAGAAAAAGAGACAGAGAUCAGAGAGAGACACAGAAAGUGAGACUGGGGAGAGAGAUAGUAUAAAAUAGAGAGAGAGAGAGAGACCGUAAGAGAAGGGAGACAAAGAGAUAAAAGGUGCGAGUGAGCAGGUGAGGAGAAAGACUGAAAACGAUGAGAAACAGCAACUAAGACACAAAGGAGGUGGGAGACUGCCCGGGUGCCACAGCACCCACACCGUCCUCUUGCCCCCGUCACUUGGGUUAAAACCACCGGAAAUUCCACUAUUGCAAAUUUUGUAUUAAUCCUUGUAUAUCUGUCCUUUCUAUUUUUAGUCUACAGUUGUAUCCAGCAGCUCCAGAGAGACAGCGACCAGCAAGAAGGGGCCAUGAUGAUGGUGGUGGUUUUUUCAAAACGAAAAGGGGGAUAUGUAGGGAAAAGAAAGAGAGAUCAGACUCUUACAGACUCUUACUGUGUCUACAUAGAAAGGGAAGACAUAAGAGACUCCAUUUGGAAAAAGACCUGUACUUUAAACAAUUGCUUUGCUGAGAUGUUGUUAAUCUGUAGCUUUGCCCCAGCCACUUUGCCCCAACCACUUUGACCCAGUCUGGAGCUCACAAAAACAUGUGUUGUAUGAAAUCAAGGUUUAAGGCAUGUAGGGCUGUGCAGGAUGUGCCUUGUUAACCAAAUGUUUGCAAGCAGUAUACUUGGUAAAAGUCAUCACCAUUCUCUUGUCUCAAUAAACCAGGGGCACAAUGCACUGUGGAAAGCCGCAGGGACCUCUGCCCUUGAAAGCUGGGUAUUAUUCAAAGUUUCCCCCCAUGUGAUAGUCUGAAAUAUGGCCUCGUGGGAUGAGAAAGGCCUGACGGUCCCCUAGCCCGACACCCAUAAAAGGUCUGUGCUGAGGUGGAUUAGUCAAAGAGGAAAGACUCUUGCAUUUGAGAUAGAGGAAGGCCACUGUCUCCUGCCUGCCCCUGGGAACUGAAUGUCUCGGUAUAAAACACGAUUGUACAUUUGUUCAAUUCUGAGAUGGGAGAAAAACCGCCCUAUGGUGGGAGGUGAGACAUGUUUACAGCAAUACUGCCUUGAUAUUCUUUACUCCACUGAGAUGUUUGGGUGGAGAGAAACAUAAAUCUGGCUUACAUGCACGUUCAGUCAUAGUACCUUCCCUUGAACUUCAUUAUGACAUAGAUUCUAUUGCUCACAUGUUUGUUGCUGACCUUCUUAUUAUCACCCUGCCCUCCUACUACAUUCCUUUUUGCUGAAAUAAUAAAGAUAGUAUUCAAUAAAAACUGAGGGAACUCAGAGACCGGUGCCAGUGCAGGUCCUUGGUAUGCUAAGCGCCGGUACCCUGGGCCCACUGUUGUUUCUCUAUACUUUGUUUCUGUGUCUGAUUUCUUUUCUGUCUCUCA